rnacentral:rRNA from 1 species
AUACGGAGGGUGCAAGCGUUAAUGGGAAUUACUGGGCGUAAAGGGCGCGUAGGCGGUCUAUCAAGUCAGGUGUGAAAUCCCACGGCUCAACCGUGGAGGUGCAUCUGAAACUGAUAGACUUGAGUAUGGGAGAGGAAAGUGGAAUUCCCGGUGUAGAGGUGAAAUUCGUAGAUAUCGGGAGGAACACCAGUGGCGAAGGCGACUUUCUGGACCAAUACUGACGCUGAGGCGCGAAAGCGUGGGGAGCAAACAGGAUUAGAAACCCUAGUAGUCC